GCCCUGUAGACGUCUGCAUCCGAGGGCGCUCCCAGCGCCCCUGCCUUCUUCACGGCUUGUACAGAGGGCCUCCUGGGCCUCAAGGGACUGCAUCAAUCCAGUUCUAGUUUCCUGUGGUUCUAGAUAGGGUUAAUAAUGGAAACUGAGCGAACUGAUGGAUGACAUUAAUGAACUAGAAGGCCAAGCCAGAGACCCAGAUAAAAGGUUCUGCUCCCGAAAGACCCUGCACAACCGGGAGGAUUGUUACAGCCACUGAAGAACAAUUCACUCCCUCGUCCGGACACAGGGCCACACUGAACACCUACCACACUCUCCUCUCCGAGACUGAGAUGGUGACGUCAGGACAAAGAGUGGGACUUCAGGCUGUCAGGCCUGGGCGGGUAGAGGAAAGGGGGAGGACAGGGCUGAAAGAGGAAGAGGGAGGGGAAGAUGAAAGGAGGAAGGAGGAGGAGAGAGGAAGUGGGAACUGGAAAGAGGGUGGAGGGAUCAGGGACAGAGAAACCACACUUACUAACUGUAUUAGUAUUCACAUGUCAUCAGAGAAUGAGUGCCUGGUCAAUAAAAGGGUCCAGAGAAGAAAGACUGGAUCAUUAUUGGUGAGCAGUGAGGAAUAAGUGAAUUGCUUCCUAGGUUGGACAAAACCACUGCCACCUCAAAUAUGGUGGAUUUCCUACUCAACCCACUCCCCCAGGCCCCACUCCAGGAGCUGGGCUGGGAGCAGUUAAGGCUCUUAAACUUAUUUUCCUCAGUCAGGGACAAGGGGCCCACUUGGUGCAAUGGAAAAGGCACAGAGUAAACUCUAACUGCUCCUCUUUUUCAGGUAAUGAUAAUAAAAUUAUCAAUGUAAGAAACAUUUGAACCUGCAGAAAAUUCUUGGUGAGAAAACUCAGCUCAGAGAGGCUGAUGUCAUAGUGCUGGAGGUCCCUGGUCCUGAGGUUUGGGAUGUGGCCUUGGCAAAUGGAGGUAGUGUUUGAACCCUGGGAAUGACUUCAGCUCCCACACUUCAAGGGGAUUCCUCCCAGCCCGAAGAUUUGGAAACCCUGUGGUUAGAAAAGAAAGAAAAGAGCACGAGAGGGCUCCAAACCUCAGAACCAUGUUGACUAUGACUUAAACGUGUUCUCUGUCCCUCU